GUGCUCGCUUCGGCAGCACACAUACCAAAAUUGGAACGAUACAGAGAAAAUUAGCAUGGCCCCUAAGCAAGGAUGACAGGCAAAUUCGUGAAGCGUUACAUAUUUUU